AUCAAGAUCAGACUCUGCCCUCCGUGUUCACAGCGGACCUUGAUUUAAUGUCAUACAAUUAAGGCACGCGGUGAAUGCCAAGAGCGGAGCCUACGG
rnacentral:pre_miRNA from 1 species